rnacentral:lncRNA from 1 species
UAAUAAAGCUGAAAUAUCCCCUUAUAUUUCUUCGAGUGAAGUCUCGCCUUUAAUCAUCCAUCCAUAUGUAGUCAUAAACAAUUGAUAAAAGGAGCAGUAUGCUUAGGGAAAAUAUUUUUUCUGUGCACAACACUCUAAUAAACACAGUACAGGUUGAUUAAAAAUUAGGCAUCUAUAUAAAGUUCUUGUUUGGUUCUACCCGAAUGCUGCUAAAUGUGAUGGUGGAGUUGCUGCUUGUGAAGAUGCCUUUUCACUCAUCGACUUUACCCACUCACUCCUUCAGCUCCUAAUCCUGCCGGUUUGAGCCACUACUUUGCCUAAUAUUCUCCUACCAAAAGGAACAACAUAUUCACGCAUCCGUUCAGUCAGUUAUGAAAAUUAUGAUAAGCAGGAGAGGCUCGACUAUGAAUCAAUCGAUCCAUGCCCCCUUACCGAGGUGGAACUCAUGGUGAUAUGAGAGACUCAUCAUCAUCAAUGUCUCCGCACAGCCACAAUGAGGCAGGUUCAUACAUC